AACGAACGCUGGCGGCAUGCCUAACACAUGCAAGUCGAACGAUGCCUUCGGGCAUAGUGGCGCACGGGUGCGUAACGCGUGGGAAUCUGCCUUUCGGUUCGGAAUAACUCAGGGAAACUUGAGCUAAUACCGGAUAACGUCGCAAGACCAAAGAUUUAUCACCGAAAGAUGAGCCCGCGUAGGAUUAGCUAGUUGGUGAGGUGAAGGCUCACCAAGGCGACGAUCCUUAGCUGGUCUGAGAGGAUGAUCAGCCACACUGGGACUGAGACACGGCCCAGACUCCUACGGGAGGCAGCAGUGGGGAAUAUUGGACAAUGGGCGAAAGCCUGAUCCAGCAAUGCCGCGUGAGUGAUGAAGGCCUUAGGGUUGUAAAGCUCUUUUACCCGGGAAGAUAAUGACGGUACCGGGAGAAUAAGCCCCGGCUAACUCCGUG
rnacentral:rRNA from 1 species